GUGUGUGACACAGAUGUAAAGAGCUGCAUGAAGAGAAACCAUCUCAGAGGAGAGUAUUCAGCAUGUAUUGUGAAUGUAUAUUUCCAUAACUGUUUCAGAUUCACUAUUGUUUAUUUAUUUAUCAAUUUCAGUUAGGACUCAAUGCUGGCACAUUCUGAAGGAACUUGUUUAUUUUUGUUCACAAAUGGUCCGUGCGUUUGAGGAUUAAUAGCUAAUUGCAGUUUCAAAUGCUUCGUCAUUGUUGGAAAUGGUCGCUUAAGUCUGGUAUUAAAAACAUCUGACCGUGCCAAAGGAGCUCUUACCAACACCUGGCAAGUUAAGAUAAAUGUGUUUU